rnacentral:rRNA from 1 species
AGCUCGACACCUACGGAGGCAGCAGUAGGGAAUCUUCCACAAUGGGCGCAAGCCUGAUGGAGCAACACCGCGUGAGUGAAGAAGGGUUUCGGCUCGUAAAGCUCUGUUGUUGGAGAAGAACGUGCGUGAGAGUAACUGUUCACGCAGUGACGGUAUCCAACCAGAAAGUCACGGCUAACUACGUGCUAGCAGCCGCGGUAAUCUGAGCGGGCUGGCAAGGC